rnacentral:rRNA from 1 species
GACGAACGCUGGCGGCAGGCCUAACACAUGCAAGUCGAACGAGUGGCGGACGGGUGAGUAAUGUCUGGGAAACUGCCUGAUGGAGGGGGAUAACUACUGGAAACGGUAGCUAAUACCGCAUACCAUCAGAUGUGCCCAGAUGGGAUUAGCUUGUUGGUGGGGUAACGGCUCACCAAGGCGACGAUCCCUAGCUGGUCUGAGAGGAUGACCAGGCACACGGGAACGGAGACACGGUCCAGACUGCUAAGGGAGGCAGCAGUGGGGAAUAUUGCACAAUGGGCGCAAGCCGGAUGCAGCCAUGCCGCGGGUAUGAAGAAGGCCUUCGGGUUGUAAAGUACUUUCAGCGGGGAGGCGGUACCCGCAGAAGAAGCACCUGAUAACUCAGUGCCAGCAGCCGCGGUAAUAC